AUUGAACGCUAGCGGGAUGCCUUACACAUGCAAGUCGAACGGAGUGGCGAACGGGUGAGUAAUGUAUCGGAACGUGCCCAGUAGCGGGGGAUAACUACGCGAAAGCGUAGCUAAUACCGCAUACUAUUGGAGCCGCCGAUAUCGGAUUAGCUAGUUGGUGGGGUAACGGCUCACCAAGCCGACGAUCCGUAGCGGGUUUGAGAGGACGACCAGCCACACUGGAACUGAGCCACGGUCCAUACUCCUACGGGAGGCAGCAGUGGGGAAUGUUGGACAAUGGGGGAAACCAUGAUCCAGCCAUCCCGCGUGUGUGAUGAAGGCCUUCGGGUUGUAAAGCACUUUUGGCAGGAAAGCGGUACCUGCAGAAUAAGCACCGGCUAACUACGUGCCAGCAGCCGCGGUAAUAC
rnacentral:rRNA from 1 species